GCUGCAGGUUCCUUGCUGCUUGCUUCCAUCAAUCAUCAUCAGCAGCAGGAGCUUUGAUUCAUCAUUUCCUUCAAUUCAUCGCAAGGCAUGUCGGCGAUCAUCACGCAUUUUCAGAUAAACUAACUAGCUAGCUAGUGCAUGUAUGUGAUUACGAUCGAGAUCAGCCGAACCUAGCUAAAUAAAUGGAGUUAUAUUACCAACUGUGUGCAUGCA